UACGAGGGGGGCAAAUGUUGUUCGGAAUCACUGGGCGUAAAGGGCGCGUAGGCGGCCAUGCGUGUCUUCCGUGAAAUCCCUCGGCUUAACUGAGGACGUGCGGAAGAAACUGCAAGGCUCGAGUCCGGGAGAGGAGGGUGGAAUUCCCAGUGUAGCGGUGAAAUGCGUAGAUAUUGGGAGGAACACCGGUGGCGAAGGCGGCCCUCUGGACCGGUACUGACGCUGAUGCGCGAAAGCGUGGGUAGCAAACGGG
rnacentral:rRNA from 1 species